GGGCUGCUCAAGAAACGUGGAAACACACUGUGCGACUUUCCACUCCCCCGUACACGCGAUUCCGUCGCCACCUCUCGGACCAGCAGCCCAGGUCCAACGCUGGGCCGACCCCAGAUACUCAGGCAGUCGGUAUUCCCGCCCGGUUCGCUUGUCUAUUCAUCCCUCUGCAUCAGGCUGGGACGCGCUCCGUCUUUAAGAGGCUCAAAUGCAUCUCCUGCCGCGGGGCGGGAUCUGGGCGCCUGGGCCCCGGGGUCCAGAGGCCGGUAACUUUGCUAAUCUCCCCCAGUGGCGGGGAACGUCACGCAACCGCUGAGCCCUGUCCGCGGAGACUAAACAAGGAGAGGAACAGGCUGUAAACACACAUCCUGACACGCAGGGAUGUUGCUCUUGGAGAAUGUGAAGACAGUUUGCUUCUUGACAAGCGAGCGAGCGGGCGCCCAGAUUUUUGCAGCCUUUCCGAGUCUCCCCCGAGGGAGAGGCGGCAGAGAAAACGCCGGAUUUGGGAGCCACCAGGGAAGGAUCCGCGCAGGGGAGCCGCCCUCCUUGGCCCCAGACCCGCCUGCCGGGGGCCCCCUUUGCUUACUGCCAAUGUAUGGUCUGAAGCUCUGAGGAUGGUGCUAGGGACUGGGGUCGGGGGAAGCCUCUUGAAUAAUAACUGCAAAGAAGAAAGAGGCGAGAAUGUCCCCCUAACCUUGAAGCAGAAAGGACUGUGUUCUUAAAGCUGUUGGCUGCAGUCACAGGGCCAGUUGCCCGCCUCUAUUCCCAGAGUAAAGUGUAGCAUCUUCUGUCCUCCUGGCUUGCUUGCACCAUUCAGCAAAUUAUACUCCUUCCUCACCAAAGUGGAAAUGCUCAGGGGGGUGUGUGUGUGUGUGUGUGUGUGUGUGUGUGUGUGUGUGUGUGUGUUCCCUCUACACUGAGGCUGGUGUUAGAGAUGUUACCGAUUUAAACCUUCCAGAAACCUGGAGGUUUACAUUUUGUAAAGGGAGGGGACAAUCCUAGUCUGUCUCAACCCUAAUUCUGGUUAGAGUGGCAGGGACUGAACAAAGCCACCAACAUGCAAAAGUCCAUCUCCAGAGUAUCAUACAUGCCCCCAGGAAACCCCCAGUGGGAUAUGCUUCCUGCACUUUCCCCUUCUCUCUAACCUCUGUCUCCUGUUUGUAAGGCAGAGGAAGGGUGAUUCCUUGCCACUGCACAGGAAUGCAGGGUUACAGUUAUCUCCAAGAAAGGGUGGGGUGAGGCUGAGUCACAGGGAGAGCAGAAAAGCCCUGUAUCUUCAAUGAGGACCCCCCCACACACCUUUCCCAGGCUUGUGGGCCUCAUUCAGCAAAGCAGGGAGUGUUUUAUAUUGAUAUGAGAGGCUGUCAGUCAGCAGCAAAUCAGUUCAGGCAUAGCUAUCUCCUUCUUUAUGAAAUCAGCUCAUUGCCUUGGUCACACUAUACAGAAAAUCUGCUUAUCACCGCUAUUGACAAUAAAAAUUAGUGGAGCCUUAGUUGUUUCCGAAGAGGAACCCCGUGUCUGUGACACUAGAAUAGAUAAGUAGCUUGGCCUGUUGCAGGCAGAGAGGAGCCCAAUUCCUCCUCCUCUUCUCCCUGCAGCAAUCUGAACAAUUCUGAAACCGCCUCCCUGGGCGUCAGCUGAGCAGGUUGGGGAACUAACCAGGGCUCUCUCUCUAGGGCCCUGUUAAAUGCACUGAACUUAAAAUGAAACACGAAGUGUGAAUUUCAGGUUUGAACAUGAUGCAUCAGGAAACGUGGAGGUUGGCAGCCCUUUUCCUCCCUCCUGCUUUUCGGUAGCAGGUAUUAAUAUUGUAUUAAAUGUUAUGAGAAAGUAAAGGCUGUGGAGAGGAAUGUGCUCAGAUGCAAUUUUGUCAAGGUUUUUAUCUGUGAUUAUGAUUCCAGAUGUAGAAACUCCCGGAGGAGGGAAAUGAGGGGCUGCUGGCAUGUGACAUGUGUUUUAAGGUGUUUGGCAGUGUUUCUCAAAGUGGUGACAAAAUGUUCAAUUUUAUUACAGGGAAUUGGUAAAAGAAAUAUGAAUACUAGGUCAGAGAUUGUUCACCUCAGCAAAAGGAUUUACCAUUAUUGAUUAGGGUGGGGAAAGUUUGUAUCUAGGCCCUGCUUAAAUCACAUUGUCAACAGUAUAAAUCUGUCAGAUCAGAUUUUUCUUAAAGAACAAUUGUAACAAAAUACACUAUAGCUAAUUGCAUCCCCUCACGGCUAAUUUCCACGCAAGGAUGUAAAUUUCCCUGGAAGCAAAACCAAAAAAAAAGUAAAUGUUGCAAAAAUGCCAUUUUUUCCCCAACUGGUAUAACUACAGUCAUUUAUUGACAAUCAUUUCUUUUUAAUCUAGCCCAGAGUAAUAUCCAGUCCUGGAAGGGCUAUUUUGCUAACCUGGUUGCUCUGCAAGCCUUUCAGGUUGAAGCACACACACACACACAAAAAAAAAACAAAAAACAAAAAACAAAAUAACAAAAAGCAAACAAACAAACAAAACCCCGCAACAAAUUUUCUCACAUAGGAAACCACAUUUUGCUUAAAGGAGAAUCCGAAAGAUUUUGUAUAGAAAAAGUGGGGACGGGGGUAGAAGAGGAAGCAGAUGAACUCUUGACUGGCUGACAACUCAUAUUUCCAAGCACUUGAGACCAAGCAUUUUUCCUAUCACAGCCCUUCUUCAUUCAAAGGCAUCUCUGCCAUCCUUUUCUGACAGCAGGACACUGCUAAACUCCAUUUCUAAGCACAAGUUUCCCCAUAAACCUUUUAUGAGCUUCCCAUACACUAACACCAAUCGACUGGAUUGCCCAGCCAGCACUGACUAGACAGGAGGUGGGUUUGGUAAACAUUUCUACAUAACAAAAAGGAGUUUUUAGCUAAAGAUGCUGGACUUGGCUCCUCCUUGGGUCCUCAAUCAGAGGACGAGGGUCUCUACCCACUUGCUGGAGCCACUGCUUUACAGAUCACUCCAUGUCUAGCACACCCAUUCAGCCCCAGCCUCUCCUUAGUCCAGGCUAAAGAAUGUUGAUUUGAGCUUCCCAGCCACUGGCACUAUUUUAUCAUCACAAAGCAUACUAGGCUCCCAGCACAAAGUGCAACUUCCUAGGAAGUAAGACAAUUCCUCUCCUAGAAGAUGAUGUAGGACGUGGUAGUUUUCUGAGGGCAACAGUGAGAUUGCAGGGGAGGAAAAAUGCCCAGUGUGGCCACCAUCUCCCACCCUGCACUUUCAGCAGGACCCCUCCCGUGCCCGAGUCCAACUUUCCACUGGUUUGAUUAGCAAAUCUCUACUGCUUUUGGGAAGUUGGCAUUGUCUCUUUAGGUGAGGAAUGAGUCAUUUCCCACAUAUGCUUCAGCUGAAGCUCAGUCCCUUGGCACCCCUCCCCAACAUUUUUAUUCUUCCACUAAUUAAAACAACUAAUGUCCCAUUGAUUAUCUUUGCAUGAAUGAAAAUCAUCACAAGCCCUUGCAGGUAUAUGAGAAAUUCUGUUUGCUUAAGUAUUCACACUUUGAUUUCCUAUAGGCUAAUUUUCUCAAGCAUAAAGAAAUUCAAACAAAACAAAACAAAAACAAAAACAAAAUCUCCUGACACUUUGCAAUAAAAUAUGAAUGCUAGUUGUAAUGAGCUUGUGCCGAUCUCUUGCAGGAAGAAAUGCUCAGAUGGCCCUGUUUCAGUGCUGAAUUUUACUAUCUGGUAAUGGAUUCUAGACAGUGAAGGCAAACAUUGAUAGGUCAUCAGACUCAGGUUUUGAAUUUGUGCUUGUGUUGAGUCAGAUGAGCUCACCCAAAUUUACUUUUAAGUUACCGUGUCAGCCCUCGAAAGUAAAAAGGCAGGGGACAAUCGACACUAUUUGGAAUUUCCCAGCUACUUGGCCAUUUCAGCUUGCGUCUCCAUUUCUGGGGGCUGCCAUAAUUAGAGCGAUCUAUUUUGCAUUUACUUCUCUUUGCGAGCACUACAUUAUUCACUCUUUCCUGUGCUUAUUAAACAGUGCCACCUGCACCAAAUUCAACAAAGCUCUUCCAUCAAUCAGGCCCAGUGAAGGAUCCCAGACCAUAUAUUAUCAUUAAUUGAAGCUCAGUUGAAUUGUUGACGAUAGAGUCAACAGUAAAAGCAACACAUUUUCUAAGACCUGUUUAUAAAAAUAUUUUAAACAAAAAAAAAUGCAUUCCCCAAAUUGUCAUCUUUUACAAACUCAUUUCACUCUUUCUGUACAGUAAUUCAAGCAGCAAUUAGCAAGUCUUUUAAUUAAUGAAUUAUUCCCUGGGUGUCACCAAGGUGCCUGCAGCACAAAUGUCCUCCUUCAUAGGUACCAGCAGAUGCAGUCAAUAGUUUGUCCCCCAAAGCCUUAGAAACUGACCACCUCAAUAGCCCUAACACUAUAAAAAGGAUCUGAAGAGCCAAAGGCAAGGCUGGAAAGCAGAGGACAAUUUUCAGGAAAGGAGCCAUGGAGAGUAUGAAUCCAAAGAAAGGGAGAGACAGGAGAAAGGGAACCAGCAGCAGAGGGGAGAGGCAGAAUAUCAAUGUCUAGAGACAUCCAUGGCUAAAGAAAGGCACAGAAAGUUUCUAGUAAAGAUGGGAUCAUCUCUGAGCUUCAGCUACGUUAUAAAGGAACUCUACAUCCUAAUGCUGAUGAUUUACACAUCUUUAAGAGGCUCAAACCUCACUGUGGCUUGUUCUUUUAAAAGCUUCCUGCUUUGUUCAAAAUACUGCUUAUCUUUGGUAUUGUCAACAGCUCUGCUCUGGGAGAGAUUAAUUAAGUGAUAGGUCAGACACAAUGAGGUGAAAGGGCAUGUCCACCCAAUCAGGACUGAUUCAUCCGUUUCUAGGUGGAUCAACUUUUUUGAGGGAUGCCAAUUUUGGUUCAAUUUCCACGGGGUUUUAUCAAUAGGGAUGCCUCAGCUCCACCAGUGAGGGGCACUUAGCUGGUAGAGACUGGUCUGCAGAUAGAAAAAUUAAAAAUCUACACUUUGUUUUUUUAAGAUGUGGAAACAAAACAUAACUAUUAAUUGUCUGUAUGCUUAAGUUUUACCGAUCUGGGAGAAGGCUGAUUUCUUGAAUCCUUUUACAAAAUACAAAAUAGCUAAUUGGGUGGUUGUAAUUAAGAUUGCCAUGCACCACAAAAUAAAAAUAAAAAUAAAAAGUUCGCUUUCUCUCCUCCCA